rnacentral:lncRNA from 10 species
AAUGAAAACAGCUGCCACAUUAUGAACCUAGGCACAAACAGAGGCCGAGUUACUCAUGCCAAAUAGUGAGUGACAGGGGGUAGAAUAGAUGGGGGCGGGCAUGCGCAAGGAGUAAUAAGAAAGCCCAUCAGUGGGUGUUAUGGGAAGGGGUGGGACAAACUACCUAAAAUUCUAAUAUUGAAACUCUCAAUUUGAUUACUGCAAAUUUUGGUAGUGAAUUUGUGGCGUUCCCAUUGCAGAGACGAUGGGGUAUAUAACUUGAGCUUUGAUUAUCUGAGUUCAACCUAAUAUUUCACAUGUCUAUCACUUCAGACUCAAAAUAUGUGGCUUGACAAUUUAGGAUUCUGUAUUCUGCUGGGUCCUAAAGCACAUGUGUAAGAUGGGAACAGCAUUAGGAUGCCAGGAGAAAAGUACCAUUUUGGAGGAUAAAUGGAUAUGAUGUCUCUCCUUAAAGAACUCCCAAGUGAGUAGAAAUUACACUCUCUCCUUCAAAGAUGGUCUGGGCCCACAGAUUGGAACUGGUGAUAGACUUGGAUGCAUAGAGCAAAAGGGGACAAAUGAAAAACAGUCUUGUGGGGAAAUUAACAUUAAAAGGCAUGAAUCCAAAAGGUCUGGACCAAGAGACAGAAACAAGGUUCAGAAUAAGGCAAUCAGGCAAAUAACAAGAAACCCAGAAUAUCAUGUGGACUAUAUAUAUACUGUACAUUACAUAUAGUAAAAUAUAUUUGGAUAUGUGUACAUUAAACAUGUAUGAUUUACAUUAUAUUCAUAUUUAAUUUAAAUAUAUCACAUGUAUUUGUAUAUAUGCAUAUGUGUGUAUAUAUGUACAUGUGUGUAUGUGCAUAUGUAUAAUACACAAACUAUUGGUUUAAAAAUCUCCCAUAAGGAGAGAGACACUUUUUCUGAAUGAAGAAUUUAGAUCAGUCCCUGGGAGACCGAGCCUUCAGGGUUGUAAUACAGCUGGUCACUAAAAGUGACCAGAAAAUCAUGGGUCUUGCCCUAUAUUUCAUCAAGAGAUAAAGUGGAAACUAGUCCCAGAGGAAAUAUUUCAAAGGAGAGUGGGAGACAAAUAUAAAUGUGUUUAUUUUUAUAUCACACAUGCUUGCUAGUUUGAUGUAAUACUUUCACCUGGUGACUUGUUGCAUAUACAUGAUGAGGGAGGAGAAGCUAAUGCAGAAGGAGAGGUAAGCACGAAGAGGGGAAUAAUGAGUUUGGGUUUAGAAGAAGCAGGGCUACCACAGCUUUCAAAAACUGAUUGGCAAUAGAAAUCUUAUUUAUUUUUUCCAUGCAUCUCUGCAUCUUUUCACUAAUUUAACAAAACUUUAACAGAUGCUUAUUAGGGUAGGAACUGUGCUUAGCAUGAAGUGUAGGUGGGUGGAACAGUAAACAAGACAGGUGUGGCCUGUGUCCUCCUAGGUCUCUUAAUCUCGAGGAUUGACACCAGUGGCGCAGACUACUCCCAUGAAGCUUGACUAUGAACAUGAAAAAAUGGAAGUAGCUAGAAGGACUGGACAACUUAAUGAUUUUUUUUUAAGAUGAGAAAGGUUUGACCGUGUUCAUUUUCUAUAAAGGAAGAGCUAUUAGGAGUUAGGCAUGGUGGCUCAUGCCCAUAAUCCCAGAACUUUGGGUGGCCGAGGCAGGCAGAGCACCUGAUGUCGGGAGUUCAAGACCAGCCUGGCCAACACGAUGAAACCGUGUCUCUACUAAAAAUACAAAAAUUAGCCGGGUGUGGUGGUAUGCCCGUAAUCCCACCUACUCGGGAGGCUGAGGCAGGGGAAUGAUUUGAACCCGGGGGUUGGAGGUUGCAGUGAGCCGAGAGAGGGCGCCACUUCACUACAGGCUGAGAGAGCAACAGAGGGAGACAGUCUCAAAAUAAAAAACUAAAAAAAAAAAAAAAAGAAAAAAAAAAGCGUUAGUAGGGAGAAGUUAAAGGAAAGAAUGAAUGCAAGACCUAGAAGAAGAAAGGAGGAUCUGGACUUGACAAUUCUCACAUAUAUAUUGGGGGAAAGACGCUGACAGAUGUGGGGGAAGAGGAAGGUGUAAACAGUUGCUCCAGUCAGUCUCCUCUCCUGCAUUGCUGUGGAAAGUUAAGGACAUUUGCUGGAAAGAACUGGAGUGCAGGAGUCCUGGAGAGCUUCAGGAGAGAGCAGGGAAAAUGUAGAAAUGCCUGUUGAGAAGAAUGCGAAGCUGCUGAGUGGUUAAAAUGCGUUUUUUCUGGACUGUGACCUGCAGCAAAUGACUUAAUGUCUCUAACCCUAAAUUCCUUCUCCUGUAGUUUGAGAUUAAUAGUAGUAUCUGUUGCUGGUAUGAAUAUGCAAUUCUUGCCAAGGGAGGGGUAUGCUGGCUAAUGACUAUAAUUUUUUUAUUUCUUCCCCAAGUCAUCUAAACACAUUUUUUUUCCUCCCCUACAUGAUGCAGGGGCCCUAGGACCAGGGCUACAACAUAACUGCUGAAGCAGGGAUGAUUUCUGUAACUAAGAAACUAUGUUUUAAAACUUUAUGUCAGAAUUCCUAUGGGCCUGAUGGGAGUGGAUUGUGACUUCGCCCCAUCUGGCAAAUUGGGGCUAAAAGUGAAUACAGCUAUAUAGCCUGGUAGUAGGGUGGCUCACGAGUCCAGAACCCAUGUAACCCUACCUUCUGUGGGCGGGAAUGGUCUGAGAGAGAGGCACUUGUUAGACUAGUAUUGCUACCAGCAAUGUGGACCAGCACAGUGGCCAAACCUAAUAUCCCUUCCGAAGGUGGAAAAGUUUCGGUAAAAAAUAAAUGACAAAUGGGAAAAAGGAGUACUAAUAAUAGCUGAGGGUAAAUAAAUGAAAAAAUGGGUUAUAAAUGGAGGGAAAUCCAAUAUUACCUUAACAACUUGAAAGGGUCUCAGAGCAAGAGAUAACAUUGUCUCUUAGUUCAAUUAUUCCAGAUGCCUGAAAAGGUGAAGCUAUACAUUUGCCAGGGCCACUUCUGCUUUUGGAACCUGACAAGAUUGAAAGAAAGCCAACAAACAUAAAUGGCCUCUCCCUGGGGGACAUUCAUACAAUAUGAUGGACUGGACUAAUUAUUCGUUACUGUGAAUAUUCUGUUGAUGUAAUGGAUCUGUGUUCGAAAACCAGGGGGUGGCCUGUAGUGUUAUGAUCUGUUUAUAUAUGUAGAUAUAUAAAAGAUAU